rnacentral:rRNA from 1 species
AUUGAACGCUGGCGGCAGGCCUAACACAUGCAAGUCGAACGAGUGGCGGACGGGUGAGUAAUGUCUGGGAAACUGCCUGAUGGAGGGGGAUAACUACUGGAAACGGUAGCUAAUACCGCAUACCAUCGGAUGUGCCCAGAUGGGAUUAGCUAGUAGGUGGGGUAAAGGCUCACCUAGGCGACGAUCCCUAGCUGGUCUGAGAGGAUGACCAGCCACACUGGAACUGAGACACGGGCCAGACCCCUACGGGCGGCAGCAGGGGGGAAUAGGGCACAUUGGGCGCGAGCCGGAAGCAGCCAUGCCGGGUGUAUGGAGGAGGCCGUCGGGUUGUAAAGUACUUUCAGCGGGGAGGCGUUAGCCGCAAAAGAAGCACCGGCUAAUACCGUGCCAGCGCCGCGGUAAUUC